GUUACAUUUAAUGUUUUGAAACACCCAAGGGACAUCAUAAGGGAUGUCAUGUCGCCAAGAAACCCGAAAGCACAAAGUCCUCUGUCCAGAAGACUUACUGACUGUUACAACGCGCUGACACUGACGUCUCCUUCCAUAAAUGUGAAAGAAACAUCUCCAUGCGGAAAACUCCGCACACACAGAGCGGAGGCGGGAUUUGAAGCCCCAACCCCGGAGAUGCGAGGCAAACAUGUUAACCACUAAGCCUAGGUAACAAAUAUAUCAUAUAAAUAAAUAUAUUAUUUGGGUUUCCUUGAACCUAUCAAAAACAUGCCAGGAGGUAUUUUGCUGACUGGAAAUGGACUGGUGUUCCAUCCAUGGGCUCUGGAUCCACCCUGACCCUCACCAGGACAAAGAGCUUACUGAAGAGGAAAGACUGACUGAAUGAAGUCAUUAUUAGAUUGUCACGUCAGCAUGGUUGAAGCUACACCUCUCCUGUGUGUGUAUGUGAUGGAUGUCCCAACACUGGAUGUAAUAAGCACUGGCUGUCCUUUCCAGGCUUUGCAGCUGAUUCGAGUCUGCUCUCUGUCUCAACAAAGAUCCAGCAUGUUUACAGAACCAGUGGUUCAGGCAAAUACCUCAGCUUUGCCACUGCAAAUAAGCUCAUUGUCCUGUGCUCUCUGUGGUAUUUUGCUAAUUACAUAAUGCUCAGUAUGACGUGUGAGCUGGCAUACAAACUCCGACCACAGACACGGUCCGCCCAAGUCCUUUCACUUGUACAGAGAAGCUUGGUGUGUAGGAUAGUCACUGG